rnacentral:rRNA from 1 species
UCGACGAGAAGGGAUUGCUUGCAAUCCUGAGUAGAGUGGCGCACGGGUGAGUAACACGUAGAUAAUCUACCUUCAAGCCCGGGAUAACUAUUCGAAAGGAUGGCUAAUACCGGAUGAAGUGUUUUGACCCAAGUUGAAACAUGAAAGAUUGCCUAUCCUUGGAAGCAAUUGUUUGGAGAUGAGUUUGCGGACCAUUAGCUUGUUGGUGGGGUAAAGGCCUACCAAGGCAACGAUGGUUAGCUGGUCUGAGAGGAUGAUCAGCCACACUGGAACUGGUACACGGUCCAGACUCCUACGGGAGGCAGCAGUGAGGAAUUUUGCGCAAUGGGGGCAACCCUGACGCAGCAACGCCGCGUGAGUGAAGAAGGCCUUUGGGUCGUAAAGCUCUGUCGACAGGGAAGAAAUUACAAUCAUCCAAUAGGUGUUUGUAUUGACGGUACCUGUAGAGGAAGCACCGGCUAACUCCGUGCCAGCAGCCGCGGUAAUACGGGGGGUGCAAGCGUUAUUCGGAAUUAUUGGGCGUAAAGGGCGCGUAGGCGGUUUUGUCGGUCAGAUGUGAAAGCCCGGGGCUCAACCCUGGAAGUGCAUUUGAAACAGCAAGACUUGAGUACGGGAGAGGAAAGCGGAAUUCCUGGUGUAGAGGUGAAAUUCGUAGAUAUCAGGAGGAACACCGAUGGCGAAGGCAGCUUUCUGGACCGAUACUGACGCUGAGGCGCGAAGGUGUGGGUAGCGAACGGGAUUAGAUACCCCGGUAGUCCACACAGUAAACGAUGUUCACUAGGUGUAUCGGGUAUUAAAUCUGAUGUGCC